AGUGAAAUGCCUGAAUAAAGGGCUAUUAUGAUAGAAUAGAUAAUGUGAUUUAAUCACUUUCACUA
rnacentral:tRNA from 1 species